AGGUUGCUGUUAAUCCUGUGUCUGGAUAACUUGAUAAAGAGGGGGGGUUUUAAAUUGAACAACUUUCAAGAUGGUGUUCUAUCAUCUGCGUUUAUGGUUGGGCUUCUCAUGGCCUCACCCAUCUUUGCAUCCUUGGGAAAGAGGUGAGUACUUGUGUAACUGGAUGAGCUGUGAAUUUAUUCGAGAUGUGAUUUAGCCGAUUUGAUUUUUAAGUUCAUGUGCACUGCAACCAUAAUCCUUUUAGGCUAAUUGGACUUGGGUUAUCUAUUUGGACAUUUGCCACAGCCGGGUGUGGUAGUAUGCUGGUUGGAGUCG